rnacentral:rRNA from 1 species
UACGAAGGGGGCUAGCGUUGUUCGGAAUCACUGGGCGUAAAGCGCACGUAGGCGGAUGUGUCAGUCAGGGGUGAAAUCCCGGGGCUCAACCUCGGAACUGCCUUUGAUACAGCACGUCUCGAGUCCGGAAGAGGUGGGUGGAAUUCCUAGUGUAGAGGUGAAAUUCGUAGAUAUUAGGAAGAAACACCGGUGGCGAAGGCGGCCCACUGGUCCGGUACUGACGCUGAGGUGCGAAAGCGUGGGGAGCAAACAG